rnacentral:rRNA from 1 species
GACGAACGCUGGCGGCGUGCUUAACACAUGCAAGUCGAACGGAAAGGCCCUGCUUUUGUGGGGUGCUCGAGUGGCGAACGGGUGAGUAACACGUGAGUAACCUGCCCUUGACUUUGGGAUAACUUCAGGAAACUGGGGCUAAUACCGGAUAGGAGCUCCUGCUGCAUGGUGGGGGUUGGAAAGUUUCGGCGGUUGGGGAUGGACUCGCGGCUUAUCAGCUUGUUGGUGGGGUAGUGGCUUACCAAGGCUUCGACGGGUAGCCGGCCUGAGAGGGUGACCGGCCACAUUGGGACUGAGAUACGGCCCAGACUCCUACGGGAGGCAGAAGUGGGGAAUAUUGCACAAUGGGCGGAAGCCUGAUGCAGCAACGCCGCGUGCGGGAUGACGGCCUUCGGGUUGUAAACCGCUUUCGCCUGUGACGAAGCGUGAGUGACGGUAAUGGGUAAAGAAGCACCGGCUAACUACGUG